UGAUGCUCUGAUCGCAGUCUGAUAACCAAAACGGAUCAAUAUGUGUGUUGUAAAGGUUAAAUGACGCUCUGUACUGUGUUGUCAUGGUGCAGCGUGAGUCAGGAUGAAUGAUAAGAGCGGCUCGAAACUACAAGCCACUAACAUGGCCUUAUAUCAUACUAUAAGUAAAUCAGAAGAAGAAUUCAGCCAUCAAAAUCUCUAAGUGUUGAAAUGAGAAAUGUGUUGAAAUUUGCAGUGCUCUGUGGGCUUGUGCUGCAUUCCCAGGCUGCGUGUUGCUGACGGCGCUCCUGAUGCUGCUGCGUUCUUCUCCAGGAGGAUUAGACACUUCCUGAAUUACAUGUUGUCGGCCAUGAGGAGGGUUGUUUGCAUCUGAAUACUCUCAUGUUCAGAACGAGCAAUAAGAUGGGAGACUUUAUCAGAACUGCCCACUAAUUAACAGAAAUCACAAUAACUAUUGCAUAGAGGGAUCUCGUUAAAUCGAAAAGCAGAGUGAUCAGGGUGGCAAAGUGCUAAUUAAGCUUUGAAUUGGGGGAGGGGGGGCUGCAUCAACAGAGCACAGGGAUGAUCCUCCACUGUCUGUUUACAUCGCUGCAGUGCAUUCUGGGAAGUCACCCCACAACCUGGGGCAGGCGUACUGUUCUGCUGCUCCGGGGAAAAAAAAGUGUGUAAGACAGAUAAAACCAGCACAAGUAAAUCCCUUCGGCUCUGUGUUUACGGACACAGACGGCUUUAUCUGCACUAAUGCCAUCAACAUUUAAAGCAGGAAACUUUAUUUCCAAGAACUAAACCUUUUCACACAAUAUGUGAAGGGUGAGUUAUUUGUUGCUGCAACAGAAGCACAGAUUUUCUGUUACAUGAUGGAAGUGUUUCUCAUUAGUAAGAAAAGUCUCUUUAAUGUCCCAUUUGUUUCAGAAAUGGUCACUGAGUCUCAGAUUUUUCUGCUUCUCUAGUGGUUCAAAAGAGAUCUCAAAAAUGUCUCAAACUGUACUCAGAUUUGACAAUAAAACAAAGAUAAAAAACAAGCUCAACAUUUCUCAACAAACCCUUAAUCAGGCCUUCUUAGACAUUUCUUGUGAGGAAAAAAGUAAUCUCUUGUCAUCUCAGAAGUCUCAGAGAUCUCAAAAAUGUCUCUUAUUUUCCAACAUGCUCUGAAUGAACGUGUCUCGACAGAUUCUUGUUGUUUUUCUCUUGAGAAAACGACUUCGGUCAUCUUGCAUGUGAUUCAAAUUUAAAGUGAGAAAUUUUUAUUUUGAAAUCAAACAGUUGUCAUCAAAUAAUCUGUCUAUCCACAUUCAUUUUAUAGCUCUGUACUCUUACUGUACGUGAGCAAUCAUUUUCAUUUUUAAGAAAAACAUCUGAGAGAAAGUUGACACUUAAAUGAAACGUAAUGGAGGGACGCAUUAGCCAAAUUCAGUCGAGACUACAGACGUUUCUUACCACAGGGUAUUAAAUGACAAAGUCCAAAUCAAAUCUGAAAAAUGAGGUAUUGCGGUAAAACAACUUUGCAACUCUGUCACUGCGAGUCAGAUAUUUUACAUUUGUCUCAUGCUUGUUGACCACAAUUUCCCUCAGUUUUAAAUGUCUCCUGUGAGGAAAACGUGGCCCCCGUCAUAUACGGUUAAGAUGCCUUCCACUGGGCUUUAGGGAAUCAGACAGACAACAUGGCUGCCUCUGAUUAAGAGUGUAAGAAAUCCUGUUACACACUUACAGCUGAACGCCUGAGAAUAUCACCACUCUCAUUAUUGGGCUGGGAUUUGAAGAAGGGCUCGUAGCGUUCCUCACUGGGAAAAUGUCUACAAACAUCUUUUCAUCCUUUCUCCUCUAUAUUUUACUCCCUCAGUCCAUUUAGUUUCAUCAGUCUUGUAAAACAAUGAGUAGGCCUAGUCAUGUUUGUUUUCUGCAUGCAUUCGUAUGGUCAAGGUGACUCUUUGCUAAUGCGUGUAAUAAAAGAAUUGUGUAGCGGGAAAUGCUUACAGCUGUCUGUAGCACUCUGCUUCCAUGACAAGAUCUUUUAGUUUUCCUACAUGUUGCAUCAUAAAGAACAGACAAAAGGAAAGUUGCAUGGUCAGUAAAACAUUUCAGUGGACUAUCUUAAGGUUAGUCCAUCAUGUAGGAGUUCAUUUUUUAUUUUUGUUUUGCAGCUGAGAGAUUUGAGAAGAAUAAGAGAACAAUUGACUGAAACAAAAAGAAAUGUAUGAGAAGGUGGAGGGGCAGAGGAUCAGACAGACGGGAGGAACCAAGACUCAUUUACACAGAUGAACAUGUGGACGAAAGUCAGUUCGUCAGAUAUGGAGAACUGUCCCUUGUCUCGGCUCACAGAUCAGAGGCUUCUGUUCUGGCCUGCAUCAACUUUUCCUGCAUUAAAACUCUCGGGUCUGAAAGAACUUUCCAAAGCCUUCUGAUGGCAUUCAGCAUUCGCCACGGGGGAAAAUAACAAGCUGGUUGCUCACUUUGUGACCUGCUGGAUGAGGUGGUUCCAGGUGCACCUGUCGUAGGCCUACUCUUCCUCCAGGCUGGGAACAUUGCCCCCUUGUAGUGCCUGAACUUCGGCUGAGUCGGGUGGCAGCCUCCCAUUUGUUAAAUGCUACAUGAGGUGACUGGAGCUUCUCUGCCCGUCGCUGAGAGGACAGAUGGAGAGGGCACGGAAUGUUCUGGAGAGCCGAUGGUAAUUACAAGCCAGUAGCAGAGCCGAUGGCUUCCGCAGGGAACAGGCCUGAGCGGAAGCGCUCGAGUGGCGUGGGGGGUUGUUUGCCCUUUGGCUGCUCAGCAUGCUGUUGCUCUGCGCGGUGAGCUCGUGUUGGGACUGCCGUCACUGCACAUUUCUCCGCUCUUCAUGUCAGGUGAGGUGUGUGUGGGAACAUGGUGACAUUUGUGAGCUUUUGUCAUUCACAAGGAGUUUAACUCUUCAGAUGUGUUUCCAGUUCUAUUCGUUUCAGUAGAUAACUGAUGGAAGUCGCAGAUGUGUACAAAAGAAUUUUAUGGAUCAGUCCACCCAAAAAUAAAAUAAUUAUCAUCAUUUACUCAUGUCGUGAUCAAAAGUGAUAUUUACAGUGAGUUUUCUUCAUACAUCAUAUCUCUCAUUUUAUAUUCUCUGACACUUGUCUCCUUGGUAACCAAGUACACUAACUUUUAAAAACUUACAGUAUUUAAUGACAUUAUUGUUGUUUGUGUACACCAAUUGUAUAUAAAUCAUAAAUUUGUUGAUUAUUUUUAUUUCACU